AUGGCGGAGCUGGCGUCGGGCGCCGUGGGGACGCUGCUGGGCGUGAUCAGCCACGAGGCGCUUAGGCUCGGGCGCGUCCGGCACGACGUGCAGUUCAUCCAGGAGGAGAUGGAGAGCAUGGGCAGCUUCCUGGCGAACCUCUCCGGGAACAGCCGCGAGCACGACGAGCAGGUCCGCACCUGGAUGAACCAAGUCCGGAUCCUCGCCAAUGACUGCAACAACUGCAUCGACCUCUACCUCUACCGCGGGGACCCAGCACUCCACCUGCCCAAGGAAGGCCCCGGCCGCUACCUCCGGUGGGCUCCUUGGCUGGUGCGCAAGCUGCUCGCACAGCAUCGCGCCGCCGGCCAACUGAGGGAACUCAAGGACCGGGCACAAGACAUCGGCAACCGCCGAAUGAGAUAUGGUGUCGAGGUCAAAACGGAGUCAUCAUCUUCCAGGGCUGGGCUCACGGAGCCAUUGUUGUUGCCGGCACCACAAGACCAUGAAGACGAAGCAGACAUGGACAACGACCAAGAUGGGGUUGAUCCACUCAAGGUGGCCUUGUCCAUGACUAGCAUGAGGAUGGACAAGGAAGACUUCUUUCAAAGGAGGCUAGAUCAAUGGAUCGGAUUGGUGGUGCAAGUGAGGGCGGAGGCGGCGGAGAAACACAUAAAGUCGAAUGUGGCGGAAUCAAGGAAACUGGCAGCCGAAUCAAAACCAUUACUGCCUUCCAUCGCCUUUGUGGUAACGGAUAAUGAGGACGCCAACGCCAACGCUCAUGCUCUUGGGAGUAAAGCCCUGGAGGUGGCAAGAGCCUAUUUUGAGAAGGCAGAGGACAUCCAAGAUAAGGUUGUCCCGCCGGAGAUGAAGCAUGCGGGUGCCCUUACGCGUGAAGAUAAGGCGGUGCCACCCAAGAUUAAGGAUGUCGGCGCCCUUGCGCAUGAAGAUAAGGGUGUGCCACCAGAGAUCAAGAAUGUCGGUGGCCUUGCGCGUGAAGAUAAGGCUAUGCCACUGGAGACCAAGGAUGCCGGUGCUCUUGCGUGUGAAGACAAGGCUAUGCCACAGGAGAUCAAGGAUGCCAGCCCAGUUGUGCCACCGGAGAUCAAGGAUGCCAGCCCAGUUGUGUCACCGGAGACCAAGGACAACGGUGCCCUUGUGCAUGAAGAUAUUGUGGUGCCACCGGAGGUCAAGGAUGCCAACGCCCUUGUGCAUGAAGACAAGGCCAUUCCAUCGGAGACAAGGGAAGACGGUGCCCUUACGCAUAAAGACAAGGCCAUGCCACCAAAGAUCAAGGAUGCCGAUGCUCUUGUGGAUGAAGAUAAGGUGGUUGUGCCACCGGAGACCAAGCACAUCGGCGCUAUUCGCACGAAGAUAAGGCGAAAACCAAUGAGGCUCUUGUGCAUGAAGAUAAGGCGGUUGUGCCACCGGAGACCAAGGACGCCGGUGGUGCUGCCGGAGACCAAGGAUGCCAGCGCCCUUGUGAAUGAAGAUAAGCCUGUGCCACAAGAGAACAGGGACGCCAGUGGUGCCCUUGUGCACGGAGAUACAGCGGUGCCGCCGGAGACAAAGGGCACUGGCGCUCUUGAACACAAAGAUAUGCCCGCUGUGCCACCGGAGACCAGUGACGCUAACAACGCUCUUAUGCACAAAGAUAAGGUAGCUGUACAGGACACUGGAUAUGUUGUCAUCUUGGUCGACGUCCCUGAGGUGCACUAUGAUUUUAUAACACUACGACCCCACAAGAUUCUCUGCUACAUCAUGGCUGAGCUCAAGCGGCAGCAAGGCACAAAACAAGAUCCUCCUAAAACAAGAUGGGGCACUUACAAAUACACAAGGGACACAAUCCGUGAUAUCAAGCAACAGAUAGAUAAAAUGAAGGCCGACAGCAAGAUAAAUGACAUCAAAAUUUGCACUCUUGAGGAUGGUAUGAAGGAGCUGCCGGACCGGCAAAAAUUGCGCAAGGACGGAAUAGAUUUGGAAAAAGAAAUCUUGGGUAAAAACUUGGGCCAACUCCUCUGGUUGCUCAUCUACCAGUCAACUACUACUGCUGCAUCAGAAAAAGACAAAAAGAACAAAUCCAUGGUAGCAGAAUUGUAUGGUGCCAUCAUCAAGCAAACAGCCAAGGAGCUUAAAUGGAAAAUAGAAGGCGGUUCAAGCUCAGAGCAGCUGGAGGACCCCGAAUAUGAAGACAUCCUGUCAACGGUGUUCCCAAGGUCGAUCAGUACCACCAUCACCGCUGGCAAUAGUCCUCUUGGCACAUCGGUUGAUGAUGAAAUCAAAGAAAUGGUCAGAGGGGUUAAAGAAAUGCUGCACGAGUUACGGGAAUUAGAAAAAUCUGCCAAGAACCUAGAGGUGAUCCCGGAAGAUAAUUUUGAUGAAACCAGACAGCAGAAGAAGGACGAAAUCAUAACGGAGAUUAGGAACCGUCUCAAGAUCAAAAUGAUGGCGCAAAAGAUUAAAGAAUGUUUGAGAGGUGAUGAUCAAAGGAUCCUGGUCAUCCUAAAAGUUUAUGACAAGUAUAUACCCCAAUGGGAGGAGACCAGAAACACUUUGAGACCCCGAGGACUGGGGUGGUGCCCCAUCGCUGGUGCUGUGAUCGUGGCCACAAAGACCACUGAACAGGACACCAAGCAAUAUUUUGGCUGUCAAGAGCUGGAGCCUAUAGAAUAUUCUCUUGUUGGCCUCUACCUUGAUACUGUGCUCCAGAAUACAGGCCAGCAUAUGAAUGAUCAACCCAGCCGCCAGGUUCUACGCGACAUCUUGUGUAAGUGUGAGCCACAUGAAUUCUGCAUGAAGAUCUUUGCUCAUGCAUUGUACACCAAACCCAAGAGGAGCAGUGGAGAGCUGAGCAAGUUGAAUAGCACCUUGCCUGCCGGUGCCACACAAAAAUCAUUGCCCAGUAUGAUGUUCAAGUUCUCUUACAGGGAUCUGCCUAAAGAGUACAGGUCUUGUUUGUUGUACCUCGCUAUCUUCCCUGGAGGAAAAAUCAUCAGACGGUCAACCUUGGUAGGACGAUGGGUUGCAGAAGGGCUGAUAACCACCAAAGAUUGGCGCUGGUCCUCUUCAGUGGAUGAAGCCGAGAAAUGUUUUGAUACGCUCAUUGCCCGGUGCUUUGUUUGUCCUGCUGGCAUUGAUGCUACUGGAAAGGUCAAGAGCUGCACUGUGCAUAAGCUAGUUUAUGGAUUCAUCACCAAGAUCGCCAUGAAGCAGCGCAUUCUGGAGACAAGGCUGUCACAUCACUUGGCUCGGCACUUCUCCAUUUUCAGUGAUGUCCGUCUCCGCAGCUCUGAAACAAUUGAGAAUUUCUUGAAAAAUUCAUCUCAGUUCUCCAAGCUCAAGGUGCUAGAUCUAGAAGGCUGUGAUUGCUUCCCGCAGAACCAGCACUACCUGAGUCACAUAUGCAGGAAUAUACUAAUGCUCAAGUAUCUCAGCCUAAGGGGAACCGGUGUUACCAGGCUGCCCAGUGCAAUCAACAAUCUACAUGAGCUGGAGGUAUUGGAUAUCCGAGACACCGAGAUUCAUGCGUCUGCAACAAGACAUGUCCUGCUUCAAAAGCUGAAACGUUUCUUGGCUGGUCAAAAGCUGAAGCAUGUCUUGGCUGGUCAUGUCGAUUCAAGUCAGAGCAGUCCUAGUGACUCCCCCAGUGUCCAGAUGCCUGAGAUCAACAAAAUGGAGUGUGUGGAGGUACCGUGCAAUGUCAAGCCGAAGAAUCGUUGGAACCGUCUAUUGUCUGGUCAUGUUGAUUCAAGUCCUGCUGACUUCUCCAGUGUGCAGAUCCCUGAGAAGAUUGAAAAAAUGGUGGGUGUGGAGGUAUUGUCCAACGUUAAGCCAAAGAAUGAACAAGAUUUGAAAGAUAUUGGAGGUCUGAAUGAGCUGAAGAAGCUCGGUGUGGCUAUCAACAAGGAGAGUGACCUCAAGUCAUUGCUUAAUGCAAUCAGUGACCUCCUAAACCAGUCCCUCCGUUAUCUGUCAAUUACUCUUGACAUAAAUAUAUACAAGGUCCCUCCAUCAGAGCUGAGUCUGAAACAAAACUGCCCUGAUGUUCUUGAGAGACUAAGUAUAAAUGAAAGCACUAGCACACAAAAGGGGCAACUUCUUAAGAUAUUGGUUGGAAAGGGAAAUCAACUUGCCAAGGUGACUCUGACUGGUACCUCCUUGAGCCAGGAAGAUCUGAACAUCCUUGCCAAGCUUGAAAACUUACACUGUGUCAAGCUUCGACACAAUAAGUACGAUGAGAGCAAGCUCACUUUCAACAAGGGUGAAUUCAAAAAUCUCAAGAAUUUUCUUGUUGAGGGAAACAACAUGACUGAAAUCACAUUUGAUGAUGGAGCUGCUAGUAACCUUGAGAAGAUUGUUCUGUCCUCCACCAACAUAGUCUCUAUCAGUGGAGUCGGCUACCUUAAAAAAUUGGAGGAGCUCGAACUGAACAACAUCAAGAACAAGGGCAUAUUGCAUUCAUUACUUUUCAAUGCCAAACACAUAACCAGGCUGACUCUUCGUGAUACAUUGCUGGAACAAGGUGAUCUGGAAAUCCUCGCCCGCAAACGAAAGAUGCGCUACCUAGCACUCUUCGGGAAGUUUUACAAUGGCAGUCAGCUUAUCUUCAAUAAAGAUGAAUUCCAAAAGCUCAACUUUCUUAUUGUCGGCUCCUCCUACAUCACCGAGUUAAGCUUCACCGACGGGUCUCCUAAUCUUGAGAAGAUCGUCUGGUCAUUCAAGAAUAUUGUUUCAAUGUCUGGAAUCGACAAACUUCCUGCACUGAAGGAGCUGGAGUUGAAUGGUGACAGUGUCCCUAAUGAUGUUGAACAAGUCAUAAAAAAACUAAAGAAUAGGCUUGAGUACAAACACAAGGAUAAGCCAAAAAAACAAGAAGAAAAACAAGGUGGUCCUGCAAGAUGCCCGUCCUUGUGGAAGGCGAAGGAUUGGUGCUGGAGGAACUGA
rnacentral:rRNA from 1 species